CCUACGGGUGGCAGCAGUGAGGAAUAUUGGUCAAUGGACGAGAGUCUGAACCAGCCAAGUAGCGUGAAGGAUGACUGCCCUAUGGGUUGUAAACUUCUUUUAUAUGGGAAUAAAAUGUUCCACGUGUGGGAUUUUGUAUGUACCAUAUGAAUAAGGAUCGGCUAACUCCGUGCCAGCAGCCGCGGUAAUACGGAGGAUCCGAGCGUUCUCCGGAUUUAUUGGGUUUAAAGGGAGCGUAGGUGGAUUGUUAAGUCAGUUGUGAAAGUUUGCGGCUCAACCGUAAAAUUGCAGUUGAAACUGGCAGUCUUGAGUACAGUAGAGGUGGGCGGAAUUCGUGGUGUAGCGGUGAAAUGCUUAGAUAUCACGAAGAACUCCGAUUGCGAAGGCAGUUCACUGGACUGCAACUGACACUGAGGCUCGAAAGUGUGGGUAUCAAACAGGAUUAGAUACUCGUGUAGUC
rnacentral:rRNA from 1 species